rnacentral:lncRNA from 1 species
AGAAGAAUGGUCUGGGCUUUCGAAAAGAUGAAGAUGCAAGGGGUAAAGAGACAGUCUUUUGAACAAGCAAGCUGACAUAAGGAUUCUAGCUCGCGCCCACUUAGAGCAGAUGGAGAUUCUCGGACGGGGAAAAGCGGCACUCGACAUCUAUUAAACAAGACCAAGAACAAAGCCAUACCAUGCCCUCGGGAGAAAGUAGUGAUG